UACGGCUCAGUAACACGUGGCUAAUCUGCCCUUGGGACCGGAACACCCCCGGGAAACUGGGGCUAAUUCUCGAUAGGCGAAGAACUCUGGAAUGAGUCUUUGCCAAAAAGACGUUUACGUUAUGCUCGUAGGCGUCGCCCAAGGAUGAGGCCGCGACCGAUCAGGUUGUUGGUGAGGUAAUGGCUCACCAAGCCUUUUACCGGUGCGGGCCGUGAGAGCGGGAGCCCGGAGAUGGGCACUGAGACAAGGGCCCAGGCCCUACGGGGCGCAGCAGUCGCGAAAACUUUGCAAUACACGAAAGUGUGACAGGGCUAUCCCGAGUGCCAUCCGCUGAGGAAGGCUUUUACCCAGUCUAGAACGCUGGGGGAAUAAGGAGAGGGCAAGUCUGGUGUCAGCCGCCGCGGUAAUACCAGCUCUCCGAGUGGUGUGGAUGUUUAUUGGGCCUAAAGCAUCCGUAGCUGGCUAAGUUAGUCCCUUGUUAAAUCCACCGAAUUAAUCGUUGGAUUGCGGGGGAUACUGCUUGGCUAGGGGACGAGAGAGGCAGACGGUAUUUCCGGGGUAGGGGUGAAAUCCUAUAAUCCCGGGAAGACCACCAGUGGCGAAGGCUGUCUGCUAGAACGCGCCCGACGGUGAGGGAUGAAAGCUGGGGGAGCGAACCGGAUUAGAUACCCGGGUAGUCCCAGCUGUAAACGAUGCAGGCUAGGUGUUUGGACGGCCACGUGCCGUUCUAGUGCCGCAGGGAAACUGUUAAGCCUGCCGCCUGGGGAGUACGAUCGCAAGAUUGAAACUUAAAGGAAUUGGCGGGGGAGCACA
rnacentral:rRNA from 1 species